UACGGGGGGGGUAAGCGUUGUUCGGAAUUACUGGGCGUAAAGGGCUCGUAGGCGGCCAACUAAGUCAGACGUGAAAUCCCUCAGCUUAACUGGGGAACUGCGUCUGAUACUGGAUGGCUUGGAUUCGGGAGAGGAAUGCGGAAUUCCAGGUGUAGCGGUGAAAUGCGUAGAUAUCGGGAGGAACACCUGUGGCGAAAGCGGCGCACUGGACCACAUCUGACGCUGAGGCGCGAAAGCUAGGGGAGCAAACAGG
rnacentral:rRNA from 1 species